rnacentral:rRNA from 1 species
CCUACGGGUGGCUGCAGUGGGGAAUAUUGCACAAUGGGCGCAAGCCUGAUGCAGCCAUGCCGCGUGUGUGAAGAAGGCCUUCGGGUUGUAAAGCACUUUCAGCGGGGAGGAAGGCGGUGAGGUUAAUAACCUCAUCGAUUGACGUUACCCGCAGAAGAAGCACCGGCUAACUCCGUGCCAGCAGCCGCGGUAAUACGGAGGGUGCAAGCGUUAAUCGGAAUUACUGGGCGUAAAGCGCACGCAGGCGGUCUGUCAAGUCGGAUGUGAAAUCCCCGGGCUCAACCUGGGAACUGCAUUCGAAACUGGCAGGCUAGAGUCUUGUAGAGGGGGGUAGAAUUCCAGGUGUAGCGGUGAAAUGCGUAGAGAUCUGGAGGAAUACCGGUGGCGAAGGCGGCCCCCUGGACAAAGACUGACGCUCAGGUGCGAGAGCGUGGGGAGCAAACAGGAUUAGAUACCCCUGUAGUC